UACGGAGGGGGCUAGCGUUGUUCGGAAUUACUGGGCGUAAAGCGCACGUAGGCGGCCUGGUAAGUUAGAGGUGAAAGCCUGGAGCUCAACUCCAGAAUUGCCUUUAAGACUGCCGAGCUAGCAGGUGAGAGAGGUGAGUGGAAUUCCGAGUGUAGAGGUGAAAUUCGUAGAUAUUCGGAAGAACACCAGUGGCGAAGGCGGCUCACUGGCUCAUACUGGACGCUGAGGUGCGAAAGCGUGGGGAGCAAACAGG
rnacentral:rRNA from 1 species